rnacentral:misc_RNA from 1 species
GCUAAUUCUUCAACCCAUAAGACUGACACUUCAAACAAAAGCACAAUCUUUCGUAAGGUUAUGAGAAUAAUACGGGCAAAGGACCAUCAUCAUAAUCAUUCAGAAAUGGUUCACAAGACUGAAGAGAAUGCAGCAAGAUGCUCUUAUUAUUCUUCUGGGUACUGUUCAGAUAUGUCUGUCGUAGAUACCGGAGCUAUUAGGCCCCAGAGCAGAU